rnacentral:rRNA from 1 species
CAGCCGCCGCGGUAACACGGAGGGUGCAAGCGUUAUCCGGAUUUAUUGGGUUUAAAGGGUCCGUAGGCGGAUCUGUAAGUCAGUGGUGAAAUCUCACAGCUUAACUGUGAAACUGCCAUUGAUACUGCAGGUCUUGAGUAAAUUUGAAGUGGCUGGAAUAAGUAGUGUAGCGGUGAAAUGCAUAGAUAUUACUUAGAACACCAAUUGCGAAGGCAGGUCACUAAGAUUUAACUGACGCUGAUGGACGAAAGCGUGGGGAGCGAACAGGAUUAGAUACCCCUGUAGUCCCUGUCUCUUAUAC